rnacentral:rRNA from 1 species
CCCUUAGAUGUCCUGGGCCGCACGCGCGCUACACUGAGUGUCUGAGAUACGAGUCUGCCUGGUCCGGCAAGGUCUAGGUAAUCGCUAAAAGACACAUCAUGCUUGGGAUAGAUUAUUGCAAAUAUUAAUCUUGAACGAGGAAUUCCUAGUAAGCGCAAGUCAACAGCUUGCGUUGAUUACGUCCCUGCCCUUUGUACACACCGCCCGUCGCUACUACUGAUUAGAUGUUUAAGCGAGGUUCUCGAACUGCUAGCGACUUAGCUUCGGUGAGGUCGCAGUGUGGGAAGUGAACCUAGCUUUGGUGUCUAGAGGAAGUAAAAGUCGUAACA